rnacentral:rRNA from 2 species
UCUGGUGUCAGCCGCCGCGGUAAAACCAGCACCUCAAGUGGUCAGGAGGAUUAUUGGGCCUAAAGCAUCCGUAGCUUGCUCUGUAAGUUUCCGGUUAAAUCCAUUAGCUCAACUAAUGGGCUGCCGGAAAAACUGCAAAGCUAGGAAGUGGGAGAGGUAGACGGUACUCGGUAGGAAGGGGUAAAAUCCUUUGAUCUAUUGAUGACCACCUGUGGCGAAGGCGGUCUACCAGAACACGUUCGACAGUGAGGGAUGAAAGCUGGGGGAGCAAACCGGAUUAGAUACCCGGGUAGUCCCAGCUGUAAACGAUGCAGACUCGGUGAUGCCCUGGCUUGUGGCCAGUGCAGUGCCGCAGGGAAGCCGUUAAGUUUGCCGCCUGGGAAGUACGUACGCAAGUAUGAAACUUAAAG